rnacentral:rRNA from 1 species
AUUGAACGCUGGCGGAAUGCUUUACACAUGCAAGUCGAACGGCAGCACGGGGGCAACCCUGGUGGCGAGUGGCGAACGGGUGAGUAAUACAUCGGAACGUGCCCAGUCGUGGGGGAUAACGUAGCGAAAGUUACGCUAAUACCGCAAACGAUCUAUGGAUGAAAGCGGGGGAUCGCAAGACCUCGAGCGAUUGGAGCGGCCGAUAUCAGAUUAGGUAGUUGGUGGGGUAAAGGCCCACCAAGCCAACGAUCUGUAUCUGGUCUGAGAGGACGACCAGCCACACUGGAACUGAGACACGGUCCAGACUCCUACGGGAGGCAGCAGUGGGGAAUUUUGGACAAUGGGCGAAAGCCUGAUCCAGCCAUUCCGCGUGCAGGAUGAAGGCCCUCGGGUUGUAAACUGCUUUUGUACAGAACGAAAAGGUUUCUACUAAUACUAGGAGCUCAUGACGGUACUGUAAGAAUAAGCACCGGCUAACUACGUGCCAGCCGCCGCAGUAA